ACCUUCGCUGGGAUUGUGGCGCAGGGGAGCAGCUCGGGGCGGCUCCCCGGGCGUCCGGCCCCGCCCUCCACCUCUGACUCUCUUUUGCAGACUAAGGGUGGCCAGGAUGAAGCAGUCCUCAGGUGACCCCGCCAUCCAUCCCGAUUAGAAGUGUGGCCACACGUGACGUAGGAGUAAACAGACACGUCAUAAGAUCACCAAGGCAACAGGAAUGUCUCCCAGCUGAGAGGACCCCCUCAGUCUUGUCCAGAGUGAAGAUGAUGCCGGUCUGAGAGUUCACCCCGACGGCAGUCACCACCAUCCGCCCGGAGCCCUCCAUCACGUGGGUCCCUGAGGAGGGGCGCCGCUGGGUGACCACCGCCUGCGGCCAGGGCCCGGCCCGGGGCAGAGGGCGCAAGGCCGGCCCAGUGCGUGCUGAGAACAACAUUCUGCACCCCUUCCAACUACUGAAACGUUGCACGUGGGGACCUCUGCAACUGGACUCGGCGGGCUCCUAUUCACACGCUAAAACCCAGCUCAGCACCACCUCCUCUGGGGUGUUUGCUCUCUUUCUGGCUUUCAGACAGCACCUUCUCACACCUCUCCUGCAGAUGAACUGGUUGCCAGUCUGCUCCCCCAAGCAUGCCCGAGCUGGGGUCCCACGGACAGGGCUGGGGGUGAAUUACUGGGGCGGUCCCAGGGCUCAGUCCGGG